rnacentral:rRNA from 1 species
AGUGAACGCUGGCGGUAGGCCUAACACAUGCAAGUCGAACGGCAGCACAGUAAGAGCUUGCUCUUACGGGUGGCGAGUGGCGGACGGGUGAGGAAUACAUCGGAAUCUACUUUUUCGUGGGGGAUAACGUAGGAAACUUACGCUAAUACCGCAUACGACCUACGGGUGAAAGUAGGGGAUCUUCGGACCUUGCGCGAUUGCAUGAGCCGAUGUCGGAUUAGCUAGUUGGCGGGGUAAAGGCCCACCAAGGCGACGAUCCGUAGCUGGUCUGAGAGGAUGAUCAGCCACACUGGAACUGAGACACGGUCCAGACUCCUACGGGAGGCAGCAGUGGGGAAUAUUGGACAAUGGGCGCAAGCCUGAUCCAGCCAUACCGCGUGGGUGAAGAAGGCCUUCGGGUUGUAAAGCCCUUUUGUUGGGAAAGAAAAGCAGCAGGUUAAUACCCCGCUGUUCUGACGGUACCCAAAGAAUAAGCACCGGCUAACUUCGUG